UCAUAGAAGGCACAGUUGGAACUGCGACGACGGGAGGCAUUACCAUAGACGAUGUUGGGUUUACUUCCGGGGCAUGUGAUCAACCAGGUCACUGUAGCUUCGAUCGGGAUAUGUGUUCGUGGCAAACUACUGGUGAUGAUGGCGAUCACGAUGAGCGACCUUGGAUACGGGAGUCUGGUAGAACAGUCAGUGGCAACACCGGACCAGCUAAUGACCACACUAAAGGGACAGCCGAAGGUUAUUACGUACAUGUAGACGCCACGGACGCUGAAGAUGGCGACACUGCUACACUCUUUAGUGAAGUCUU